rnacentral:rRNA from 1 species
AGUGUUGCGGUUAAAACGCUCGUAGUUGGGUUUCUGUCAGGAACAACUGGUCUGUCCUGAGUGUCGAGUACUAGUUCGGCUCCUGGCAUCUUCUUGGGGAACGGGUGCGCACUUCACUGUGUGGCCUGGAAACCUUGACGCUUACUUUGAGGAAAUGAGAGUGCUUCAAGCGGGUGUCCGCCACGAAUACGUUAGCAUGGAAUAAUAGUAUUGGACCUCGGAUCAUAGCUGUUGGUUGCUGGAAUCGGGGUGAGGGUAAACAGGGACAGUUGGGGGCAUUCGUAU